rnacentral:lncRNA from 1 species
GGCGCGGACGUUUGUGCCGCGCGCCCGCCAGACCGCCCAGGAGGCGGCGGCUAUUGUUCCCCGCAGGGGCCCGGGGCGCCCUGAAACGGGGUCCACGUCAGCCCGCUCCCGAGCGUGUCCUCAGGUCUAAGGACGGGUGGGGCUUCCUUUGUGUGUUCUCUGGAAGGGGCUGGGAUGGCGUCGUUGCUGCCCCAAGGGGUAACCGAGGGGGAUUGAGGGAAGAUGGUACCAGCUCCCUAGAGCUCAGCUCACCAGACCUACUCUUCCGCUCGACCCUUGCAGAGGAGGUGGGGACGGAUAUGGUAUUUGUAGGGCAGCGCUGUGAACAAUGGAGCCAUCAAAAAGGCCUUCUCCCAGCCUCCUCACCAACCACGGACAUUCCUGGCCCAACAAGACCUCCUGGCCAGGUUUUGAGCCCUGCUUCCCAGAUCUGGGGACCCUUCACCUGCCUCUACUACUGCAAAUGAUUGGAUAUUCGUCUGACUUGGCUCUUCCCUAAUGUGUGGAACUAAUUUUGUUCACUCUGUUUCAUGCUGGACCUGGCCUGAAAAUGGGCCCUUAUAUUGUCUUUGCACUUUCCAACUUGCCAAGUUUCUGAAAGAAGGACCAAAGUAAUGCCAAGAACUCCCAGAUGAAGAGGACCUUCCUUAGACCUAUAACAGAUUCACUACUUGACUUCAGAGGGAAGUUUCAGCUAAUUCUCAGGAAAAGGUCAAAACAGGCCUGUGACUGUCCCUUGAAUACUGAAGGUAUAAACAAGCUUCUGGCUCCUCCAGGUCAAGCAGAGGAACACUUUUAUUAGAAUGAAGGGUUACUUCUUUGUUAUUCAAACACACACCCACACACAUCCUCUGUAGUCUCCCUAAUGAAAAACCUCAACAGAUGGAGAGCCUGAGCUCCCAAGUCCGCAGGCUGAGAAGAUGCACUUCACUCAAGGGCCAGUGGGCUGGUACAGACUAGGGAAGAGAAAAGGGACAAAGGCUGCUAGUAUAGGUAAUCACUAUCUUUUAAUACUCCUAACACAUAGAAAUUCGAAAAAUCUUGUUCAGCAAUGUUAGCAGCCUGUGAGCCUCGGAAACUAAUUUGGCUGAUGUGUCUCUGAUAGGGAGCUUGGGGCUGCACCAAGGGGAAACAUUCUCCUCCUGUAUUCUCUCCUCUCUCUCGUUUGAAAGCCUGUACAAAGAAAUGGUACAAAUGGAUGGUUAACUUAAUGAUUCCAUCAGAGGCAGAUUUUUCUCUGUCAGGUCCCUGGAUAAGGUGGAGGUCUGAAAGCCAGGAGACAGAAUAUGUACUUAAUCGCCCUUUCUGACCUGCUUACCAGUGACCAGGACUACUCUCCAGGCCUUUCUUCUGCCACUUCCCCAUUCUUCCUGGCUAGUUCAGUUGGGUCUCAGCACUUCAACUCCUGGCUGGAUCCUGAGUUUUUCUUGGUUGCAGGGAAAGCUCUCACUGUCUGCAUCUCCUUCCCCACCCCCACCUCCCGUUUUGCAGCUGGCCAUUCUGGCUGCCUCACAGCUAUCCUGCCUUAAUUCAUAUUUGAUUGCCUGGACAGAACCACCUAGAAUGUCCAGACGACUGCCACCCCUCAGCCAUGGGCCUGAGAUCCUGCCCUGACCCCUUUCUUCAGACCCCAGGAGGACCCACAAUCUCCCUGAUCCCCACCUUCCCCAAAGUAGUCUCUAGGAAAAAAGCAGAGCUGGCUAAGGCCUGAGACAGAGCCAUUUCUUCCCCUUGGGCAAACGAGGUAGACCCUCCCAGAGACCAAUGCCGGAGAGGCCCGGAUCCGAGCUCCCUUUAUAUGGCCUCCCCCAUCACGGAUCCCGUGGGAAAACCUGACACACAAUGGCGCGGCUGCUCCGGGCACCCUCAACCCAGCGCCCUGCGGCAAGGCCUGGAGCAGCCUGGUGGUCUUGGUGCGCUCCCUUUGCCCUCCCCGCAACCCUCUGCGAGCACUCGUCCCAGGAGAGAGACCCUGGCUAGGGUGGAGGUUGCCUCCCGCAAAGGGCGCUGUUGCUGGGGCCUCCCCUCCCCCAUUCUCUUGUUUUUCUGCUUCUGAGACUCGGGAGGGAGGCGGCAGGCGCCUCCGCAGCCGAUAGAGCAGCUAUUGUGACCUUCCCUUGCAGAGCGGGAACCCAGCCGAGUGUGUACCGCCGGCGGUGGCGGGGGAGGAGGCGACUGUGUGUGCAAACCUCAGUCGGAGAGGGGGUGGCGCUGGGAAAUAAAGGUUUGCAACCUCAGGCAGUUGGGCCCUUCAGAGGGCGUUUGGUUGUGUUUAGACUCGGUUGCUUUCUAACACUAAUUGCAGGCUCAAAAGGAGCGGAAUUUAUUGCGAAGGCCAAGGCGGCUUGUUUAUAAUUUAUGAAGUUUUAAAUGGCUGUGCCGCGGGCCCCAACUUUCUCCUGGGCUGGCAGCCGCGCGGAAACGCGCCCUCCCCCGGCUCGCCGCCCACCCCCACCCACGCCCCUCAGAUGAGUCUCACGCCAAUGGCAGGAACAGAUCCGAGCUAUUAGAAGUCUCGGGAACCUCCAGAGAUGACAGAAGGUGGCAGAUUUGGUCCAAGCCCUCACCCCACUCGAGAGGAGGGCGUCGGGGAAAGCUGUGGCUGCCUGGAGAGGGAGCCCCUGAUCCCACACUUCCUUGGAGCCUGAGUGUGAGAGGAAGCUAAUGUCAGCCGGGCUAGACACCGUUUAAAGUCUAAUCCAUGAAACCCUAAGCCGCAAAUGACACUUGGGGCUUUGCAGACACCCGCAGACUCAGCAGAUACUCCUGCGGUAACACACUGUGCUGGAAAACGCCUGGAGCCAUGACACAUUACGUAUUUUUAUUAUUAUUUAUGGUAGGAAGAGGAGAUGAGGGAAAAUCGGGCUGAAUCUAAGCAGCCUGACAAUUCAGCUAGUUAAUAUUUAGCCAGUUAAGAAAGGUGGUUGUAAUCCCUGCAAGGCAGUGAGCUCUCCUUUGAUUUCUCUAAUAGCUUAAAAAAUAAUUUCUUACAAGACAAUUAGAAAUUCUGCCUAUGGAUGCAAAUUUCAUAGAAAACAAUGUUAAGCCUUGAAAGUGGGUAAAAUGUGCCUUCGAUUGAAGUCAUUUAUUCUGUUGAUACACUUCUACAACAUAUAUAUUUUAAACCUGCUCAGAUAAAGUGAAAUUUAGCAAAAGGAUAUCCCCUCCCACCCCCAAAUCUAACAUGCCAUUUUAAAAACAGCACAAAGGAACAAGGAAACUAAAUAUUAUUUUGAGCCAUCAUUACUUAGUGAAAUACAAACAUCCAAAUAGAAACGAUUGUUGUUCCACCAGAAGAUUAGAAGUUAAAUUAUUUCCACACAAUAGGAAUUUCACUUCGUGUCAUCGGGGAUGUAGUAGGAGUUGCAUUAUUUGUCAAACCAAAUAGAGAUGCGUGGGCUGACUUUGCUGAAAUACAAAAGAAUUGAACCUUAUCUGAAGGCGUUUUCUAAGUGGCCCCUCCCAUAGAAGCCGGGAAGUUGUCCACCCCUAGCAGAAGCCACAUUAAUAUUUACAAAAUGGUUAUAAAUCCUUGAAGACAUUUUUGCCCAUUUUGUAUAAGAAACAGGAGUAAACAAGGUGUUUAUACUUGUUAUGUUUCAUUAAUGAAAUAUUAUUACUUUACAUCUUGGGGAAUGUUUGUUUUCUUUAGAAAUGAACUAAUGAUCACUACAAAGGAAGAAUUCAUGACAGCAUUUCCUAGAGAAAAAGCUUAGGUACGCGUCUCCAAAUGAUGGUUUCUUUUUCUACACCUUAGCUUUUUCAUAGCUCAAUUCUUCUUACAACUUCUCUUGUGUUUUUUCUUUGAUUGUCAGUUUUCUUUCAAAGUUUAUUUUUUGUUACUUAAUGCAGAAAAGUGAGCUCUGGUCUCCCCAGUGUAAAAGUCGAUUGUGUCUAGAAAGAAGGCAGUAAAAACAGCAAAGCAGGCGCUGCUUUCAAAAAGCCCUGCCCAAAUCAUCCCGCCCAGAACCUUCUUAGGUUUGCAUCCUCAUUUCCCCCUCCCCUAAUUUCAAUAGCUGGAAAGUAAUCAAGUAUCCCGAGAACCAAUUUAUGCACUAGACUCCAAAUAAAUAAAAUAUUUUUUUCAAAGUGUCA